rnacentral:rRNA from 1 species
AGCCCUUUGAUGUUUAUAAAGGGUGAUGCCUGCCCGGUGGUACUCUUAACGGCCGCGGUACUUUGACCGUGCUAAGGUAGCAUAAUCAAUUGUCUUUUAAAUGAAGUCUAGAAUGAAUGGACUUACGGACUAAAGCUGUCUCGAGUAGUUUAUUUUGAACUUACUAACUAAGUGAAAAAGCUUAGAUAAGAAAAAGGACGAGAAGACCCUAAGAGUUAAAAUUUUGUUGGGGCGACAGAGAAGCACUUAACCUUCUUGCUUUUAAAAUGACGGAAUUUUCUUGAUCUAUAAAACUACCUUAGGGAUAACAGCAUAAUUUUAUCAAGUUUAUGACCUCGAUGUUGGACUAGGAUUUAUUUAGGCUAGCUGCUUAA